rnacentral:sRNA from 1 species
GACCCUCAGUGGAGACGCACAUAAAACGAGUCAAUCGGAAUACAGACUAAAGAAAGAUGACAAAAAGAAAGAUAAAGACGAUCAAGGGCAAACAGAUGAUGGUCCAAUGAAUUUACUAAAGG